CAUUCUUUACAACACAACAAACAAAUUAUUCAACAAAUAUGACUAAUAUUCAAACAUCAACAUCACAAGCAUCUACAACUGGAAUUCAAGUCACAAAUGGCACAUCAACAAUAUUGACAACAGCCAGUCCUAUCAGCGCUCUGUCGACAUCAGCAACAACAAUUUUACCUCUGUCAUCAUCAAUAAACCUUUUAUCAACGGCAACAAGCAAAACUACUUCUUUUGGAUUGUCCGCCACUUCAAUUAGUUUCACUAAAACUAAUGCCCAAUCUCAAAGUACGACGACAUAUGUUAAUUCCUCAUCAACGACUAUCUUCAUCAAUACUGAAACAUCAAAUCAAAGUCCAACAAUCUCCAAUUUAACGAGUUCAGCUGUUCCACCAGCUACAAACACAACUCAAAUGCCAACUAUUGAAAUAUCAACUUCACCAAGUACGUUAUCGUCUACGCAAACAAGCCAAUGGCAAAGUACCACACAAUCUACAAUUGCAUCCACGUUGACGUUUCAACAUAAUACAAGCCUUAACACAACACAGCAAAUGACACCAACCUUACCAACAAGUUCCUUAUUUUCUGGGACAACAAAAGGAUUGACAACCUGGACAGUGAGCUCCACCACCCCUUCACCAUCAAUCAAUUAUACAUCACCUCUCUCUGUUGGAUCUUCAGCAUAUCCUACAAAAGUUAGUGCAUCCACUUCAGGAACUGCCCUUCAAACUUCUAGUCGUUCAACAACAACCGGACAAAAUAUUGAUACGUCAACAAUAUCACUUGGAUCAUAUUCAAGUCCAUCCAUACCAAAUGCGGCAUCUACCGGAGCAAAUCCAUUGUCAUCUACAUUCCUUACAACACAACAAACAAAUUAUUCAACAAAUAUGACUAAUAUUCAAACAUCAACAUCACAAGCAUCUACAACUGGAAUUCAAGUCACAAAUGGCACAUCAACAAUAUUGACAACAGCCACUCCUAUCAGCGCUCUGUCGACAUCAGCAACAACAAUUUUACCUCUGUCAUCAUCAAUAAACCUUUUAUCAACAGCGACAAGCAAAACUACUUCUUUUGGAUUGUCCGCCACUUCAAUUAGUUUCACUAAAACUAAUGCCCAAUCUCAAAGUGCGACGACAUAUGUUAAUUCCUCAUCAACGACUACCUUCAUCAAUACUGAAACAUCAAAUCAAAGUCCAACAAUCUCCAAUUUAACGAGUUCAGCUGUUCCACCAGCUACAAACACAACUCAAAUGCCAACGAUUGAAAUAUCAACUUCACCAAGUACGUUAUCGUCUACGCAAACAAGCCAAUGGCAAAGUACCACACAAUCUACAAUUGCAUCCACGUUGACGUUUCAACAUAAUACAAGCCUUAACACAACACAGCAAAUGACACCAACCUUACCAACAAGUUCCUUAUUUUCUGGGACAACAAAAGGAUUGACAACCUGGACAGUGAGCUCCACCACCCCUUCACCAUCAAUCAAUUAUACAUCACCUCUCUCUGUUGGAUCUUCAGCAUAUCCUACAAAUGUUAGUGCAUCCACUUCAGGAACUGCCCUUCAAACUUCUACUGGUUCAACAACAACUGGACCAAAUAUUCAUAUGUCAACAAUUUCACGUGGAUCAUAUUCAAGUCCAUCCAUACCAAAUGCGGCAUCUACUGGAGCAAACCCAUUGUCAUCUACAUUCCUUACAACACAACGAACAAAUUAUUCAACAAAUAUGACUAAUAUUCAAACAUCAACAUCACAAGCAUCUACAACUGGAAUUCAAGUCACAAAUGGCACAUCAACAAUAUUGACAACAGCCACUCCUAUCAGCGCUCUGUCGACAUCAGCAACAACAAUUUUACCUCUGUCAUCAUCAAUAAACCUUUUAUCAACGGCAACAAGCAAAACUACAUCUUUUGGAUUGUCCGCCACUUCAAUUAGUUUCACUAAAACUAAUGCCCAAUCUCAAAGUGCGACGACAUAUGUUAAUUCCUCAUCAACGACUACCUUCAUCAAUACCGAAACAUCAAAUCAAACUCCAACAAUCUCCAAUUUACCAAGUUCAGCUGUUCCACCAGCUACAAACACAACUCAAAUGCCAACUAUUGAAAUAUCAACUUCACCAAGAACGUUAUCAUCUACGCAAACAAGCCAAUGGCAAAGUACCACACAUUCUACAAUUGCAUCCAUGUUGACGUUUCAACAUAAUACAAGCCUUAACACAACACAGCAAAUGACUCCAACCUUACCAACAAGUUCCUUUUUUUCUGGGACAACAAAAGGAUUGACAACCUGGACAGUGAGCUCCACCACCCCUUCACCAUCAAUCAAUUAUACAUCACCUCUCUCUGUUGGAUCUUCAGCAUAUCCUACAAAUGUUAGUGCAUCCACUUCAGGAACUGCCCUUCAAACUUCUAGUCGUUCAACAACAACCGGACCAAAUAUUGAUACGUCAACAAUAUCACUUGGAUCAUAUUCAAGUCCAUCCAUACCAAAUGCGGCAUCUACCGGAGCAAAUCCAUUCUCAUCUACAUUCUUUACAACACAACAAACACAUUAUUCAACAAAUAUGACUAAUAUUCAAACAUCAACAUCACAAGCAUCUACAACUGGAAUUCAAGUCACAAAUGGCACAUCAACAAUAUUGACAACAGCCACUCCUAUCAGCGCUCUGUCGACAUCAGCAACAACAAUUUUACCUCUGUCAUCAUCAAUAAACCUUUUAUCAACGGCAACAAGCAAAACUACUUCUUUUGGAUUGUCCGCCACUUCAAUUAGUUUCACUAAAACUAAUACCCAAUCUCAAAGUACGACGACAUAUAUGAAUUCCUCAUCAACGACUACCUUCAUCAAUACUGAAACAUCAAAUCAAAGUCCAACAAUCUCCAAUUUAACGAGUUCAGCUGUUCCACCAGCUACAAACACAACUCAAAUGCCAACUAUUGAAAUAUCAACUUCACCAAGAACGUUAUCAUCUACGCAAACAAGCCAAUGGCAAAGUACCACACAAUCUACAAUUGCAUCCACGUUGACGUUUCAACAUAAUACAAGCCUUAACACAACACAGCAAAUGACACCAACCUUACCAACAAGUUCCUUUUUUUCUGGGACAACAAAAGGAUUGACAACCUGGACAGUGAGCUCCACCACCCCUUCACCAUCAAUCAAUUUUACAUCACCUCUCUCUGUUGGAUCUUCAGCAUAUCCUACAAAAGUUAGUGCAUCCACUUCAGGAAUUGCCCUUCAAACUUCUAGUUGUUCAACAACAACCGGACAAAAUAUUGAUACGUCAACAAUAUCACUUGGAUCAUAUUCAAGUCCAUCCAUACCAAAUGCGGCAUCUACCGGAGCAAAUCCAUUGUCAUCUACAUUCCUUACAACACAACAAACAAAUUAUUCAACAAAUAUGACUAAUAUUCAAACAUCAACAUCACAAGCAUCUACAACUGGAAUUCAAGUCACAAAUGGCACAUCAACAAUAUUGACAACAGCCACUCCUAUCAGCGCUCUGUCGACAUCAGCAACAACAAUUUUACCUCUGUCAUCAUCAAUAAACCUUUUAUCAACAGCGACAAGCAAAACUACUUCUUUUGGAUUGUCCGCCACUUCAAUUAGUUUCACUAAAACUAAUGCCCAAUCUCAAAGUGCGACGACAUAUGUUAAUUCCUCAUCAACGACUACCUUCAUCAAUACUGAAACAUCAAAUCAAAGUCCAACAAUCUCCAAUUUAACGAGUUCAGCUGUUCCACCAGCUACAAAUACAACUCAAAUGCCAACGAUUGAAAUAUCAACUUCACCAAGUACGUUAUCGUCUACGCAAACAAGCCAAUGGCAAAGUACCCCGCAAUCUACAAUUGCAUCCACGUUGACGUUUCAACACAAUACAAGCCUUAACACAACACAGCAAAUGACACCAACCUUACCAACAAGUUCCUUAUUUUCUGGGACAACAAAAGGAUUGACAACCUGGACAGUGAGCUCCACCACCCCUUCACCAUCAAUCAAUUAUACAUCACCUCUCUCUGUUGGAUCUUCAGCAUAUCCUACAAAUGUUAGUGCAUCCACUUCAGGAACUGCCCUUCAAACUUCUACUGGUUCAACAACAACUGGACCAAAUAUUCAUAUGUCAACAAUUUCACGUGGAUCAUAUUCAAGUCCAUCCAUGACAAAUGCGGCAUCUACUGGAGCAAACCCAUUGUCAUCUACAUUCCUUACAACACAACAAACUAAUUAUUCAACAAAUAUGACUAAUAUUCAAACAUCAACAUUACAAGCAUCUACAACUGGAAUUCAAGUCACAAAUGGCACAUCAACAAUAUUGUCAACAGCCACUCCUAUCAGCGCUCUGUCGACAUCAGCAACAACAAUUGUACCUCUAUCAUCAUCAAUAAACCUUUUAUCAACGGCAACAAGCAAAACUACAUCUUUUGGAUUGUCCGCCACUUCAAUUAGCUUCACUAAAACUAAUGCCCAAUCUCAAAGUCCGACGACAUAUGUUAAUUCCUCAUCAACGACUACCUUCAUCAAUACUGAAACAUCAAAUCAAAGUCCAACAAUCUCCAAUUUAACGAGUUCAGCUGUUCCACCAGCUACAAACACAACUCAAAUGCCAACUAUUGAAAUAUCAACUUCACCAAGAACGUUAUCAUCUACGCAAACAAGCCAAUGGCAAAGAACCACACAAUCUACAAUUGCAUCCACGUUGACGUUUCAACAUAAUACAAGCCUUAACACAACACAGCAAAUGACACCAACCUUACCAACAAGUUCCUUUUUUUCUGGGACAACAAAAGGAUUGACAACCUGGACAGUGAGCUCCACCACCCCUUCACCAUCAAUCAAUUUUACAUCACCUCUCUCUGUUGGAUCUUCAGCAUAUCCUACAAAAGUUAGUGCAUCCACUUCAGGAAUUGCCCUUCAAACUUCUAGUCGUUCAACAACAACCCGACAAAAUAUUGAUACGUCAACAAUAUCACUUGGAUCAUAUUCAAGUCCAUCCAUACCAAAUGCGGCAUCUACCGGAGCAAAUCCAUUGUCAUCUACAUUCUUUACAACACAACAAACAAAUUAUUCAACAAAUAUGACUAACAUUCAAACAUCAACAUCACAAGCAUCUACAACUGGAAUUCAAGUCACAAAUGGCACAUCAACAAUAUUGACAACAGCCACUCCUUUCAGCGCUCUGUCGACAUCAGCAACAACAAUUUUACCUCUGUCAUCAUCAAUAAACCUUUUAUCAACGGCAACAAGCAAAACUACUUCUUUUGGCUUGUCCGCCACUUCAAUUAGUUUCACUAAAACUAAUGCCCAAUCUCAAAGUACGACGACAUAUAUGAAUUCCUCAUCAACGACUACCUUCAUCAAUACUGAAACAUCAAAUCAAACUCGAACAAUCUCCAAUUUAACGAGUUCAGCUGUUCCACCAGCUACAAACACAACUCAAAUGCCAACGAUUGAAAUAUCAACUUCACCAAGUACGUUAUCGUCUAUGCAAACAAGCCAAUGGCAAAGUACCACACAAUCUACAAUUGCAUCCACGUUCACGUUUCAACAUAAUACAAGCCUUAAUACAACAAAGCAAAUGACACCAACCUUACCAACAAGUUCCUUAUUUUCUGGGACAACAAAAGGAUUGACAACCUGGACAGUGAGCUCCACCACCCCUUCACCAUCAAUCAAUUCUACAUCACCUCUCUCUGUUGGAUCUUCAGCAAAUCCUACAAAUGUUAGUGCAUCCACUUCAGGAACUGCCCUUCAAACUUCUACUGGUUCAACAACAACGGGACCAAAUAUUCAUAUGUCAACAAUUUCACGUGGAUCAUAUUCAAGUCCAUCCAUGACAAAUGUGGCAUCUACUGGAGCAAACCCAUUAUCAUCUACAUUCCUUACAACACAACAAACUACUUAUUCAACAAAUAUGACUAAUAUUCAAACAUCAACAUUACAAGCAUCUACAACUGGAAUUCAAGUCACAAAUGGCACAUCAACAAUAUUGACAACAGCGACUCAUAUCAGCGCUCUGUCGACAUCAGCAACAACGAUUUUACCUCUGUCAUCAUCACUAAAACUUUUAUCAAUGGCAACAAGCAAUACUACUUCUUUUGGACUGUCCGAAACGUCAAUUAGUUUCACUAAAACUAAUACCCAAUCUCAAAGUACGAUGACAAAUGUUAAUUCCUCAUCAACGACUACCUUUAUCAAUACCGAAACAUCAAAUCAAACUCGAACAAUCUCCAAUUUACCGAGUUCAGCUGUUCCACCAGCCACAAAUACAACUCAAAUGGCAACGAUUGAAAUAUCAACUUCACCAAAUAGGUUAUCGUCUACGCAAACAAGCCAAUGGCAAAGUACCACGCAAUCUACAAUUGCAUCCACGUUCACGUUUCAACAUAAUACAAGCCUUAAUACAACACAGCAAAUGACACCAACCUUACCAACAAAUUCCUUAUUUUCUGGGACAACAAAAGGAUUGACAACCUGGACAGUGAGCUCCACAACUCCUUCACCAUCAAUCAAUUAUACAUCACCUCUCUCUGUUGGAUCUUCAGCAUAUCCUACAAAUGUUAGUGCAUCCACUUCAGGAACUGCCCUUCAAACUUCUACUGGUUCAACAACAACUGGACCAAAUAUUCAUACGUCAACAAUUUUACGUGGAUCAUAUUCAAGUCCAUCCAUGACAAAUGCGGCAUCUACUGGAGCAAACACAUUAUCAUCUACAUUCCUUACAACACAACAAACUAAUUAUUCAACAAAUAUGACUAAUAUUCAAACAUCAACAUUACAAGCAUCUACAACUGGAAUUCAAGUCACAAAUGGCACAUCAACAAUAUUGACAACAGCCACUCCUAUCAGCGCUCUGUCGACAUCAGCAACAACAAUUUUAACUCUGUCGUCAUCAUUAAAACUUUUAUCAACGGCAACAAGCAAUACUACUUCUUUCGGAUUGUCCGAAACUUCAAUUAGUUUCACUAAAACUAAUACCCAAUCUCAAAGUACGACGACAAAUGUUAAUUCCUCAUCAACGACUACCUUUAUGAAUACCGAAACAUCAAAUCAAACUCCAACAAUCUUCAAUUUACCAAGUUCACCUGUUUCACCAGCCACAAACACAACUCAAAUGCCAACGAUUGAAAUAUCAACUUCACCAAAUACAUUAUCGUCUACGCAAUCAAGCCAAUGGCAAAGUACGACACAAUCUACAAUUGCAUCCACGUUCACGUUUCAACAUAAUACAAGCCUUAACACAACACAGCAAAUGACGCAGAGCUCACCAAGAAGUUCCUUAUUUUCUUGGACAACAAAAGGAUUGACAACCUGGACUGUGAGUUCCACCAAUCCUUCACCAUCAAUCAAUUAUACAUCACCUCUCUCUGUUGGAUCUUCAGCAUAUCCUACAAAUGUUAGUGCAUCCACUUCAGGAACUGCCCUUCAAACUUCUACUCGUUCAACAACAACCGGACCAAAUAUUGAUACGUCAACAAUAUCACUUGGAUCGUAUUCAAGUCCAUCCAUACCAAAUGCGACAUCUACCGGAGCAAAUCCAUUGUCAUCUACAUUCCUUACAACACAACAAACAAAUUAUUCAACAAAUAUGACUAAUAUUCAAACAUCAACAUCACAAGCAUCUACAACUGGAAUUCAAGUCACAAAUGGCACAUCAACAAUAUUGACAACAGCCACUCCUAUCAGCGCUCUGUCGACAUCAGCAACAACAAUUUUACCUCUGUCAUCAUCAAUAAACCUUUUAUCAACGGCAACAAGCAAAACUACUUCUUUUGGAUUGUCCGCCACUUCAAUUAGUUUCACUAAAACUAAUGCCCAAUCUCAAAGUACGACGACAUAUGUUAAUUCCUCAUCAACGACUACCUUCAUCAUUACUGAAACAUCAAAUCAAAGUCCAACAAUCUCUAAUUUAACGAGUUCAGCUGUUCCACCAGCUACAAACACAACUCAAAUGCCAAUGAUUGAAAUAUCAACUUCACCAAGUACGUUAUCGUCUACGCAAACAAGCCAAUGGCAAAGUACCACACAAUCUACAAUUGCAUCCACGUUGACGUUUCAACAUAAUACAAGCCUUAACUCAACACAGCAAAUGACAACAAACCUACCAACAAGUUCCUUAUUUUCUGGGACAACAAAAGGAAUGGCAACCUGGACAGUGAGCUCCACCACCUCUUCACCAUCAAUCAAUUAUACAUCACCUCUCUCUGUUGGAUCUUCAGCAUAUCCUACAAAUGUUAGUGCAUCCACUUCAGGAACUGCCCUUCAAACUUCUACUGGUUCAACAACAACUGGACCAAAUAUUCAUACGUCAACAAUUUCACGUGGAUCAUAUUCAAGUCCAUCCAUGACAAAUGCGGCAUCUACUGGAGCAAACCCAUUGUCAUCUACAUUCAUUACAACACAACAAACUAAUUAUUCAACAAAUAUGACUAAUAUUCAAAUAUCAACAUUACAAGCAUUUACAACUGGAAUUCAAGUCACAAAUGGCACAUCAACAGUAUUGACAACAGCCACUCCUAUCAGUGCUCUGUCGACAUCAGCAACAACAAUUUUACCUCUAUCAUCAUCAUUAAACCUUUUAUCAACGGCAACAAGCAAAAUUACUUCUUUUGGAUUGUCCGCCACUUCAAUUAGCUUCACUAAAACUAAUGACCAAUCUCAAAGUACGAUGACAUAUGUUAAUUCCUCAUCAACGACUACCUUUAUCAAUACCGAAACAUCAAAUCAAACUCCAACAAUCUCCAAUUUAUCAAGUUCAGCUGUUUCACCAGCCACAAACACAACUCAAAUGCCAACGAUUGAAAUAUCAACUUCACCAAAUACGUUAUCGUCUACACAAACAAGCCAAUGGCAAAGUAUCACACAAUCUACAAUUGCAUCCACGUUGACAUUUCAAUAUAAUACAAGCCUUAACACAACACAGCAAAUGACGCAAACCUCACCAACAAGUUCCUUAUUUUCUGGGACAACAAAAGGAUUGACAACCUGGACGGUGAGCUCCACCACUCCUUCACCAUCAAUCAAUUACACAUCAACUCUCUCUUUUGGAUAUUCAGCAUAUCCUACAAAUGUUAGUGCAUCCACUUCAGGAACUGCCCUUCAAACUUCUACUGGUUCAACAACAACCGGAACAAAUAUUCAUACGUCAACAAUUUCACUUGGAUCAUAUUCAAGUCCAUCCAUGACAAAUGCGGCAUCUAUUGGAGCAAACCCAUUGUCAUCUACAUUCCUUACAACGCAACAAACAAAUAAUUCAACAAAUAUGACUAAUAUUCCAACAUCAACAUUAAAAGCAUCUACAACUGGAAUUCAAGUCACAAAUGGCACAUCAACAAUAUUGACAACAGCCACUCCUAUCAGUGCUCUGUCGACAUCAGCAACAACAAUUUUACCUCUGUCAUCAUCACUAAACCUUUUAUCAACGGCAACACGCAAAGCUACUUCUUUUGGAUCGUCGGCCUUCAAUGCAAAAUCUUCAGCGUCCAUCCUUGGAUUUCCCACUACAUUAUUUUAUAAAUCAUUCGGUGUUAAAUUUAAUAUUAUAAACCAACAGUUUUCGUCAGAACUUUACAACAUUUCAUCUCCGUAUUACAUUGGAUUACAAUCAAACAUUACUCAAUUGCCCUGUAUUCCUCAACGUGUACAGUAUCUGCACAUUCAUAUCAAAUGAGAGCAGUAUCAAUGAAUUAAAUGCCACAACCGUCUACUACAACAUUGUUAAAAACCUACAAAAUGGCCUCCUUGGAGAAUAUCAACUGGACAUGGAAAGCAUUACAAUAACAGGUAAUAUAUACAUAACCUUUAGCCAACUGGAAUACAUAUCUUCAUCAUCAUAAGCUACUGUCAAUCUAAUGUUGGAUAAAGGCCUCCCAAAGUCACCACCACCCCCCGCAAUCCUGCAAUGGAAUCAUGUACCCUUGGACACGUUCCAUUUCUUGGCUCCCACUGUUUCUCCAAGGGCUACCAUUUAUAAAUUGCCAAUGAUCAUUGUAAGUUGGGGAAAGGAUAGGAAGCAAUGAGAAACUUAUCUGAACCCAUAAAAGACAUUAAGAAGAGGCGACAUGUAAAAAUAGCUGAAAAUGCACCAAUAAAGAUGAAUUACAUGGAACUCUGUAGAACGAUGCAACGAAUGAGAAAAGACAUCUGGCAAUGUAACACAUUGAAAUUGUAGCAAGCAUUGGAAGCAUGCAAGCAAAAACAAAAAAUCCAUUCGUUAUUUCAUUCUGAAGUGCUCGUUAGAUGCUAUUUUUUUUCCUUUAGAAUAAUGAUGUGCAUUCCGUGAAAUAAGUUGCAAGCUUGAUGAUAAAUGCAAUGACAACUUUUUUUUGGUAUUGAGCUUAAAGAAAAAUUAUUGCAAUUUCUGGGGGGUAGCGGUAGGUGAGUUUUGGACCCCAAUAGAUUUUCACACCUUCCCCUCCGUCUCUUCACGCAUCUCAUUUGUAAAUAAAUUAAAAGAGAUUGUGAUAAAUGUUAUUGGUAAAUAACGACUUUACAAAAUUACUGACGUGGAUAUUUUCCCCACUCAUGUUGAUGCCUUAAUUUAUCGAGUGCAAUUUUCUGAAAAACAUCGAAUUGUAAAUGUUGUGGGUUUACUCUCCAUCAUACCGUUGCGCUAAACUAGUAACGAAUUGGCAUGUUUUGUUUACGUGACAAACCUUCUUACCAAUUGGCUGUGUCGGGUGGUGGUGGAUUUAACUACAUUUAUAUUUAUGCGAUCUAACCCAAAACCCUCUAUUAUGGAUAUUGGUCGCGAAAGCCUACUUGUUAAACUGAUCUUCUAUUGUAACUGUGAAUAUCCUUGGUGAGAUUGUAUGUAUGUUGAAUUUCUUUCACACUGUACAUAGCCAACCCUGCUAAUCGGAGGUGUUACUUCUUUUUUUAUGUAACCUUAGUGUAGCUAUUUCAUCUUCUUAAAUUAUUUUGAUAAUCAUUCAUAUUGACAAUUUAUUUAUAUAUAUUUUUUAUGAUGGCCAGGUUUGUGAGAACUUGCUACAGUCUACAAACGCUAUGCAUAAUGACACAUUACUUACUGUAAUGUAUUUGUGUGUGAUUCAGAAAGGGAUGCUUUUGGCGCUACCUCACAGCAGAGUGUUGCGGCCGCCUUGCCCUUUUGGGUCAUCUUUGCCAUCACCCUGUCGUGUUUGCUGCUUGCUGUGCUACUUCACUGCUGUUGCUGCUUGUGGCUGAUUGCCUGCUGUAGACGGCGAUAUUACCGAAAAAGAAAGCACUGGCAUAGAGUAUAUAUUUAUCAUGUCGUCUAAUACCUUUGGAAACCAGGACUUCAGAAACAUAUUAAAGGUGUUUCUUUUAUUGAACGGCGUGCCUCGCGGUAUGUGGACCACAGAGCAAGGCUCAAAAAUAUGCCCGUUGCUAAAUUGAAGAUUUAAAUACUUUUGGUCAUACCCUACUUCAAUAAUUCCAUGUAAUAUCUUUGUUUUGAUAAAGUCAGUAGCAAAGAAUGAUUUUCUAGAUAACACACUCCCCGAGCCUCUUUGUGCCUUCUUUAGCUCUCUUUUUUAUGGUUGUGUACUCUUAGAGCACAGUUCUUUUUUUUUGGUUGUGAUGCAUUGAAUAAUAAAAAUAUAAUGUAGACCUUUCAAUUAAAGAACUGGUGUAUCUUUAUUAUGGUGUAUCAUCUUUGGUCACUUAUUAUUGAAAAUUCGAGUACAAGCAUUGUUAUAGAUUAUGUAUUUCUCACAUGUUUGUGGAUUUGUGACCGAGGACACACAGAUGAGUAUACAGCAUAUGUAUAAGCAAAUCGUUAAUAUAUGCACGACUUUCAAUGAAUGCGAGUACGUGUACAGCUCUUUGUCAAUAUGCUGCUGGUUAAAGGCAUCUCCCACCGUGCUCGUGGGAGUUAUUUUACCAUACUUUACCAUGCUGAUGAGUACGGUUUAAUGGUGGGAAAAACAGAUGCAGGAGCAUAUAAGCACAGUUCAACAAUUACAGUGCGCAAAAGAUGAUUGAAUGCUUAUCUAAUAAAAUGUCAUUCCCUGAGCAAACUUUUUAAAUUGAAAUUAUUGGGGUAGUGCAUCAAAAAUCAGCACGACAUUGUCUUUAUAUAAUUGAAUAACAAGCUUGUUAAUGACCCAGCUCUCAUUGCCUCUCUUACCUCUCUAUCCCAUUGCCACUCCGCUCCCUCUCUGCCUUUGCUGGUAUUUCUCGACUCAGUGUUUUCCCGAAGUCUCUAACAUUGUUCCUCCACUCUUUGAAACUGUGUUUUACUUACCUUGCAUCAACUUGCUAUGCAAAUUGUGUGUCCUUGCUGACCCGGCACACAAAACAAAUUUGCUUCCCCCUUCACACACUAUACAACUAUACUCUAUUAUUUUCUGUGGUCUUUCCACUAAGAUUAUCACUUGCAGUGUUUUAAGUAUAUGCUGAGUAUUCUUGGUUCUUUCGGUAAAGUCACGUAGAAGGGAAACAAUAAGUAAUAAAAAUAUAAAACAAUAAAAUUAU